CAAACAGUGUUAAAGUAAAGGGUUCAAAUGUGAAGAUGCCUGGAAAUUGUAGGAUUGGGUGAUGUAUUAGAAGUGAGAGACGCAUUUCCACCCCAGUCUGGCUCAGAGAGGAAAGAAGUGGUUCCUGACGGACUGCAGUGGCUGGGAGGACCAAUGAUGGGGAGACAAAAGAGGAUUGUUAGCUCCUAAAGGCACCUUGACACAGCCAUGCCGUUGGACCCUUUUAUUAAUUGCCCAUCUGCUAAGUGAGAGCUCUCCGACACAGUAGGCAGAGAUUCCAGAGAGAAAAUGAACCGCUGCAGAUCGAUUCCACUAUCAGUCAUGCAGAAGACACGGGGAAGUGCGCCAUUUGAUUUUGAUCUCCUUUUAACCCUU